GUGCCAGCCGCCGCGGUAAUACGAAGGGGGCUAGCGUUGUUCGGAAUAACUGGGCGUAAAGCGCACGUAGGCGGACUUUUAAGUCAGGGGUGAAAUCCCGGGGCUCAACCCCGGAACGGCCUUUGAUACUGGCAGUCUGGAGUCCGGAAGAGGUGAGUGGAAUUGCGAGUGUAGAGGUGAAAUUCGUAGAUAUUCGCAGGAACACCAGUGGCGAAGGCGGCUCACUGGUCCGGUACUGACGCUGAGGUGCGAAAGCGUGGGGAGCAAACAGGAUUAGAAACCCCCGUAGUCC
rnacentral:rRNA from 1 species